AAUCAACGCUGGCGGCGUGCCUCAGACAUGCAAGUCGAACGAUUAAAGCUCUCUUCGGAGAGUGUAUAGAGUGGCGCACGGGUGAGUAACACGUAAGUAAUCUACCCUCGAGUGGGGAAUAACGUCCGGAAACGGACGCUAAUACCGCAUAAUGCAGCGGCACCGCAAGGUGACAGUUGUUAAAGGAGAAAUUCGCUUGAGGAGGAGCUUGCGGCAGAUUAGCUUGUUGGUAAGGUAACGGCUUACCAAGGCUACGAUCUGUAACCGGUCUUAGAGGACGGUCGGUCACACUGACACUGAAUAACGGGUCAGACUCCUACGGGAGGCAGCAGUCGGGAAUUUUGGGCAAUGGGCGAAAGCCUGACCCAGCAACGCCGCGUGAAGGAUGAAGUAUUUCGGUAUGUAAACUUCGAAAGAAUAGGAAGAAUAAAUGACGGUACUAUUUAUAAGGUCCGG
rnacentral:rRNA from 1 species